UUUUUUAAAGCAGCAAAUUCUCUAAGAUUGGAACAAUACAGAGAAGAUUAGCAUGGCUCUUAUGCAAGGAUGAUGUGCAAAUUCAUGAAGCAUUACCUUAAAAA